rnacentral:rRNA from 1 species
AGUAACACGUGGGUGACCUACCCCGAUAACCGGGACAACCCGAGGAAACUCGGGCUAAUACCGGAUGUGCUCCCAGCCAUAGCGGGCUGGGAGGAAAGGUAGCUUCGGCUUCCGUAUCGGGAUGGGCCCGCGGCGCAUUAGCUUGUUGGUGAGGUAAAGGCUCACCAAGGCGACGAUGCGUAGCUGGUCUGAGAGGACGAUCAGCCACACUGGGACUGAGACACGGCCCAG